rnacentral:lncRNA from 1 species
ACGCAUCGAUAUCAACAUUCACAAGAACCAAAACCGGAACAACAUUAGACUACUCAGUUACACCUUAACAGUAUAACUUUGCAAUGUAUACUUUUUCGCAUUCUAUUGAACAAAGAGUAAAACCUAAUUAUAUUGUUCUAUUUUGCCCCGACAGAGUAAAUUUGGAACAAAGCGUUGUCAACGUUCACAAGAACCAAAUCCGGAACAACAAUAGACUGCUCAGUUGCGCCCUAACCGUAUAACUUUGCAACGAGUACUUUUUCUCAUUCAAUCCAACAAUGUGUAGAAUCUAAUUAUAUUGGUCUAUUAUGCCCCGAGAGCGUAAAUUUCGAACGAAUCAUUGUCAACGUUCACAAGAACCAAAACUGGACCAACAUUAGACUACUCAGUUACACCCUAACAGUAUAACUUUACAACGAGUACUUUUUCUCAUUCUAACGAACAAAGAGUAAAACCUAAUUAUAUUGUUCUAUUAUGCCCCGAGAGUGCAAAUUUGGAACGAAUCGAUGUCAACCUUCACAAGAAGUAAAACCGGAACAACAAUAGACUGCUCAGCUGCACCCUAACAGUAUAACUUUGCAACGAGUACUUUUUCUCAUUCAAUGGAACAAAGUGUAAGAGCUAAUUAUAUAAUUGUAUUAAGCCCCGAGAGUGUAAAUUUGGAACGAAUCGAUGUCAGCUAUCACAAGAACCAAAUCCGGAAUAAUAAUAGACUACUCAGUUGCGCCCUAACAGUAUAACUCUGCAACGAGUACUUUCUCUCAUUCAAUCCAAAAAAGUGUGAAAGCUAAUUAUCUUCUUCUAUUAUGCCCCAAGAGCGUAAAUAUCGAACGAAUCAUUGUCAACGUUCACUAGAACCAAAACCGGAACAACAUUAGACUACUCAGUUGCGCCCUAACAGUAUAACUUUGCAACGAGUGCUUUUUCGCAUUCUAUCGAACAAAGAGUAAAACCUAAUUAUAUUGUUCUAUUAUGCCCCGAGAGUGUAAAUUUGGAACGAAUCGAGUCAACCUUCAGAAGAAGCAAACCGAAACAAUAAUAGACUGCUCAGUUGUGCCCUCACAGUAUACCUUUGGAACGAGUACUUUUUCUCAUUCAAUCGAACAAAGUGUAAAAGCUAAUUAUAUUAUUCUAUCAUUCCCCGAGAGUGUAAAUUUGGAACGAAUCGAUGUCAACCUUCACAAGAACCAAAAUCGAAACAACAAUAAACUACUUAGUUGCGCCCUAACAGUAUAACUUUGCAACGAGUACUUUUCUACAUUCUAUCGAACAAAGAGUAAAAACCAAAUAAUAUUAUUCUAUUAGUCCCCGAGAGUGUAAAUUUGGAACGAAUCGAUGUCAACCUUCGCAAGAACGAAAACCGAAACAACAAUAGACUACUCAGUUGCGCCCUAACAGUAUAACUUUGCAACGAGUACUUUUUCGCAUUCUAUCGAACAAAUAGUAAAACCUAAUUAUAUUGUUCUAUUAUGCCCCGAGAGUAUAAAUUUGGAACGAAUCGAUAUCAACCUUCAUCAGAAGCAAAACCGAAACAACAAUAGACUGCUCAGUUGCGCCCUAACAGUAUCACUUUACAACGAGUACUUUUUCUUAUUCAAUCGAACAAAGUGUAAAUGCUAAUUAUAUUAUUCUAUUAUGCCCCGAGAGUGUAAAUUUGGAACGAAUCGAUGUCAACCUUCACAAGAAGCAAAACCGGAACAAUAAUAGACUUCUCAGUUGCGCCAUAACAGUAUAACUUUAGAACGAGUACUUUUUCUCAUUCAAUCGAACAAACUGUAAAAGCCAAUUAUAUUAUUCUAUCAAUCCCCGAGAGUGUAAAUUUGGAACGAAUCGAUGUCAACCUCCACAAAAACCAAAGCCGAAACAACAAUAGACUACUCAGUAGCGCCCUAACAAUAUAACUUUGCAACGAGUACUUUUUCGCAUUCUAUUGAACAAAGAGCAAAACCUAAUAAUAUUAUUCUAUUAUGCCCCGAGAGUGUAAAUUUGGAAUGAAUCGAUGUCAACCUUCACAAGAACCAAAACCGGAACAACAAUAGACUACUCAGUUGCGCCCUAACAGUAUAACUUUGCAACAAGUAAUAUUUCUUUUUCAAUCGAACAAAGUGUAAAAGCUAAUUACAUUAUUCUAUUAUGCCCUGAGAGUGUAAGUUUGGAACGAAUCGAUGUCAACCUUCACAAGAACCAAAUUCGUAACAACAAUAGACUACUUUGUUGCGCCCUAACAAUAUAAAUUUGCAACGAGUGCUUUUUCUCGUUCUAUCGAACAAAGAUUAAAACCUAAUUAUGUUGUUCUAUUUUGCCCCGAGAGAAUAAAUUUUGAACGCAACGAUGUCAACAUUCACAAGAACGAAAACCAGAACAAC